rnacentral:rRNA from 1 species
UACAGAGGGCGCGAGCGUUGUCCGGAAUCACUGGGCGUAAAGGGCGCGUAGGUGGCCACUAUAAGGCCGCGGUGAAAGUUCGGGGCUCAACCCUGAAUCUGCCGCGGCGACUGUAGGGCUUGGGCACUGUAGAGGCAGAUGGAAUUCCGGGUGUAGCGGUGGAAUGCGUAGAGAUCGGGAAGAACAUCAGUGGCGAAGGCGGUCUGCUGGGCCGUUGCUGACGCUGAGGCGCGACAGCGGUGGGGAGCAAACAGG